GAUGCAUUGUUAAAUCUUGACUACAGGAAUUAAUAUUCUUUGGGUCUUUCGGUAAAGUCACGUCGAUAGCUUCAUUUCUGUUAUUUUCUUUGAACAUAUCUACGUGACUUUACCGACAGACCCAAAGACUAAGAUGCAUUGCUUUCGAAUUCGGUAAAAAAAACUCAACAUUUCAAGAGCCGCGAUGCGCGUGAUGAGUACGAGAUGGUGGUCCUGAAUAAAGAACGUCACGAAGUGGGGACCGUUAAAGAGCCUCAGCCAUAGGGGAUAACUACAUACCGGGUCAGAACAGCCAACAUGCUGCCAGACCCACAGCUCAAAGAGGCGAAGACCAUGAAGACGGCAGCACAACAAGUUCUACUCUAGAUGGCAGCAGCCCCGACUAGACGAUGCCACCGAGGAACGCGUUCUGAUGUUAUUCAUGAUGCGAAGAGUGGUCGUCGCCCGACUGUUAAGCUACGGAACGUCAGAUCGGCAUCGUCCUUUGAUGAAGGCAUCGUCAAAGCCGUCACCAGCUCUCACGACCCUGCAGUUCAGCAAUCCACCUAGCACCGUCGAACACGCAUUGAUUUAAUCGCUCCAUCUCCUCUGUGGAUGUGUAUAUAGGCUGUAUUCUCAUACAUUUGGUAUUUUAAAGAUUGCUUUUAAAAGAGAGACAUUUGUUGUGUGCACUUAAACGCUGCAUAAAUGUGUACAGUCGCGUUAUUUUGAUAUUCGGUUGAAAUGACAUGUUCAUGACCACGAAAAAGAAAAACGCUAUCCUGAUUUACUCAGAGGAAUUUUGUCAAAUGCUAAUACACAUACACUCAUGCAUUUGUAUUAAUGUCAUGCGGUUAGAAUCCACAAGUGGUGGUAUAUAAGCAUUCGCACGAGUAAGCACAGUUUAUAAUUUUAGAUGAUUCUCUAAUGUUUCACACGCGUCCCACAACGGCCAAUUCCUUACUAUGAGGACAUCGUGCGCUGACGCUAAUUCUCAUACGGGGUGUGUACAGCAACACCAGCCACUGGAUUAGGGCUGAACAAUUAAUCAAUUUCAAAUCGAAAUCGCAAUUUGAAACAAUGCGAUUAGCAAUUUGCAAAGGAUGCGAUUUUUUGCGAUUUUAAAAGUCCUAUUACUUUCUUAUUGGAAUUGUUUCAUUUAUUAUUAUUAUUAUUAGAACAUUUCUUUAUUUAUUUAUUCAAAUAAUACAUUUAUAAAAUAAUAACAAUAUCACGACGUUUCGAUCGCAACACAAGCAAUCGUCAUAAGGUGAUGAGGCAGGAAAAAUAUAUGUAAAGUUAAAUAACUUAAAAAUUGUUCUAUGUUGUAUUGUUCCAUUUCAAUUAAAACAUUUUAAUAAAUGCA